rnacentral:misc_RNA from 1 species
AGAGACAACAGGAAGGCUCCUAAAAAGCAAAACAAGCACAGAGCUAUGGAUGACAUUAAGGAGAGUAUAGCUGAACUCAAAUACUUCAAGGAGCACAUAUUCAAAGUCUCCAAGUCUAAAAAGUGACAGUGAAUGAAACUAUCAUCUCAUGAUUAUGAUUCCCAAGAUGUGGUGUUACCUGCCAUUGUAAAGUGAUUCUGGAUUUUAGAUGUAAAAAGGUGUUUGAUCUAAAUUAUGAACUCAG